AGUGAACGCUGGCGGUCUGCCUAACACAUGCAAGUCGAACGGCAGCACAGUAAGAGCUUGCUCUUACGGGUGGCGAGUGGCGGACGGGUGAGGAAUACAUCGGAAUCUACUUUUUCGUGGGGGAUAACGUAGGGAAACUUACGCUAAUACCGCAUACGACCUACGGGUGAAAGCAGGGGAUCUUCGGACCUUGCGCGAUUGAAUGAGCCGACGUCGGAUUAGCUAGUUGGCGGGGUAAAGGCCCACCAAGGCGACGAUCCGUAGCUGGUCUGAGAGGAUGAUCAGCCACACUGGAACUGAGACACGGUCCAGACUCCUACGGGAGGCAGCAGUGGGGAAUAUUGGACAAUGGGCGCAAGCCUGAUCCAGCCAUACCGCGUGGGUGAAGAAGGCCUUCGGGUUGUAAAGCCCUUUUGUUGGGAAAGAAAAGCAGCAGGUUAAUACCCCGCUGUUCUGACGGUACCCAAAGAAUAAGCACCGGCUAACUUCGUG
rnacentral:rRNA from 1 species